CUCUGAGCCUUGGCGACCUCAGCUUCAGUGAUUUUACUUUAGCCUUCAAGGAUUGGACUUCUUUCUCGACUGCCACUUUUAGUGUCAAAGCCUCAUCCACCUUCUUGGAGGCCUGAGUGCCUGGGCCUUUGCCCGAGUAGCUCGGUCCAUAGCUUCAUUAGAAACCUACCGAGCCUCCUUUAGAAUGCCCACAAAAUGGUCCACA
rnacentral:lncRNA from 1 species